CCUACGGGGAGCAGCAGUGAGGAAUAUUGGUCAAUGGGAGGAAUCCUGAACCAGCCAUGCCGCGUGCAGGACGACGGCUCUACGAGUUGUAAACUGCUUUUGUACCGGGGUAAAAUGCUCUACGAGUAGGGUUUUGAAAGUACGGUAUGAAUAAGGAUCGGCUAACUCCGUGCCAGCAGCCGCGGUAAUACGGAGGAUCCGAGCGUUAUCCGGAUUUAUUGGGUUUAAAGGGAGCGUAAAUGGGUUGUUAAGUCAGUUGUGAAAGUUUGCGGCUCAACCGUAAAAUUGCAAUUGAUACUGGCAGCCUUGAGUACAGUUGAGGUAGGCGGAAUUCGUGGUGUAGCGGUGAAAUGCUUAGAUAUCACGAAGAACUCCGAUUGCGAAGGCAGCUUACUAAACUGCCACUGACAUUGAUGCUCGAAAGUGUGGGUAUCAAACAGGAUUAGAUACCCUGGUAGUC
rnacentral:rRNA from 1 species